UCACGGUGAGGAUAAGGACCUAUGAGAAAGAAAUUCAUAUUCUAAUGUUGCACUGUAUAGCUUGCAUUUUUCAUAUUCUCUACUGUCCUCUGGUGGUUGUAAUGUGAAACCAUUUAAAAGCAUUGUUUUCUUUUUCUCUAAAUUGUUUAUUCUAAUAUUAAAAUGUGACAUUGCACACUACAGUCAAAAUACAUAGGCUACAUAAUCAGAAUACAUGCAAAGAACUGAACUGCCGUAGAUUCAUAAAUGUGUCAGGGCUGUUAAAGUAUGAAAUGUAAGGAGUCCUUAAAGUAACACCAUGGAACAUUUGCUCACGGUUCCCCCAUGUGGUUGAUAAGCGCAAUUGUUUGUUGCCAGCGUAGUAAAUACUGUCGCUGUAAAAGCUUCCCCUUGGGCAGUGCAAAACACGUGAAUUUGUUGACUAAGCUGACAGAACAGGAAACCUCUUUUGGAAACCAUCUCCACCGACCAGGCAUCCCUAAGGAACCAAGGGCCAGGGACAUUGGGACGUCACUGGGCCAUUCAGAUACUAUCCGGGUCAAGAUGGGCCCUGGCUGGACCCUUCGCUUUGGUUACAGUGUGUGUCCUCCACCCACAAUCAGCAACCACGUAACAUCCCUCAGGAAAUGCUGGGUCCUUGCUCUUCAGUACCCUGCCAAUCAAACAAGAGUUAAGAUAUUUAUUUGAUGAUAUGAAUUGUUGUUUUUGUUCAUGAACAGACCUGUUUCCUCACUUGAACGCUUUACGGUUUAACUUACUAAUGCAAUAUAGACUAAAGGCUCAAAUUUUCUAUGUAAACUAUGAGUUUCUUUGUUGCUCAAGAUGUUUUUCCCACUCAUCUAAGUGGAGGUGUCUUCAUCAGUUGAUGCAACUUAAACCACAUUGAUGAGUGGCUGAACAGCUUGAGCAACAGAUCCAGAUGCCUAGACAUUUUCUGAAGAAUAUUACAAUAUAUUAUUCAACAUUUUACAAUUAAUAAGCUUUCUUUCCCUUUUCACCAAUUAACAUGCUUUAUUUUCUGUAAACAUUCUGUAUAGCUGGAAUAAAUCUAUUGUAUAUCACUAAUAAAAAAGUGUAAAUAAAAUGUAACAAUGCUUUAUAA